GUGAGGAAUAUUGCGCAAUGGGGGCAACCCUGACGCAGCAACGCCGCGUGAGUGAGGAAGGUUUUCGGAUCGUAAAGCUCUGUCGGGUGGGAAGAAAUGUAUGGAGGUUAAUAGCCUUCGUACUUGACGGUACCGCCAAAGGAAGCACCGGCUAACUCCGUGCCAGCAGCCGCGGUAAUACGGGGGGUGCAAGCGUUGUUCGGAAUCAUUGGGCGUAAAGAGCGUGUAGGCGGCUAGGAAAGUCAGAUGUGAAAUCCCUGGGCUUAACCCAGGACGUGCAGUAGAAACUGCUUAGCUUGAGUAAGGAAGAGGGAAGUGGAAUUCCUGGUGUAGAGGUGAAAUUCGUAGAUAUCAGGAGGAACACCGGUGGCGAAGGCGACUUCCUGGUCCUAUACUGACGCUGAGACGCGAGAGCGUGGGGAGCAAACAGGAUUAGAAACCCGUGUAGUCC
rnacentral:rRNA from 1 species